UAAGUAUGUGUACAUAAAUCAUGCCACAGAAAAAGGAAAAUGCUUUGGAAUCUAAAAUAAACAUUUUUCACUGAGAUGUUCGGUCGAAAGACUCAGCACCUUAUGUACAUACAUAUGUAAUAGAGCUCCCACUCCCGGGCUCCCGAAAUCACGGGAUCCCGGACUUAAAACUCCUCCCGGGAUUUAAAAUUAAUUUCCCGGGAUAUUCGGGAUUUUUGUCCUUUUUUUUAAACACUGUUAAUUAUUAUUUUUUCAUAAACAAAGUUGUAUUUACAAUAGAUGAACAUUGCCAAAAAACAAUUAGUAAGAAUUUAGUACUUUACAACACUGUUUGAUCAAAGUUACAGCACUGGUUUGAUCAGCUGUUAAUUGGCAAGCUGUAGCAUGUGCCAAGCAUACGAUCAACCGCACUGCAUUUUACAAACUAACACUUGUGGUAAUUGUAUAAAUUGUAAAAAUGGAAUCAUCAUUUAUAAAGCACACAAAAAAAGGAGACGACAAAUCGUCAACAUGGUUUUAUUUUCUAAUAUAAACAAGGAAGAGGAAAAAUGUAAUGCAGUCCUCAAAACAAAGGGUGAUUCAACAAAAGGAUUACAUUGAAAGGUUCAUGGCAUAAAGUUGUGCCGCGAAGCAACUCUUACAAUUGCUGUU